rnacentral:rRNA from 1 species
CGUGUAGGCGGUUUCGUAAGUCGGAUGUGAAAGCUCCUGGCUCAACUGGGAGAUGCCAUUCGAUACUGCGGGACUUGAGGACGGGAGAGGGACGUGGAAUUCCCGGUGUAGUGGUGGAAUGCGUAGAUAUCGGGAGGAACACCAGUGGCGAAGGCGACGUCCUGGCCCGCACCUGACGCUAAGACGCGAAAGCGUGGGUAGCGAACG